UUUGCUCCCUGAAGCCAGGGACCGCGCCCCCAAGUCGGCCAAACUGGGCUUGGCCUAUCGCGGAGGAAUAGGCUGGAGAUGGCGGAGGCCGAGGCGGCAUCGUCCGAGCCCGCGACUUCCGAGCAGCCAGUGGAGCUGUCUGCCUCCGUUCGGGCGAGCAUCGAGCGAAAGCGGCAGCGGGCGCUGAUGCUGCGCCAGGCUCGGCUAGCGGCCCGGCCCUACCCGGCGACGGCGGCUGCGGCUACUGGAGGGAUGACAAACGUAAAAGCGCCCCCCAAAAUAAUUGACACAAAAGGGGGCUUCAUUUUGGAAGAGGAAGAAGAAGAAGAACAUAAAGUUGGAAACAUUGUUCAUCAACCAGGACCUGUUAUGGAAUUUGAUUACACAAUAUGUGAAGAAUGCGGGAAAGAAUUUAUGGAUUCCUACCUUAUGAAUCACUUUGAUUUGGCAACUUGUGAUAACUGCAGAGAUCCUGAUGAGAAACAUAAGCUUAUUACCAAAACAGAAGCAAAGCAAGAAUACCUUCUAAAAGACUGUGAUUUAGAAAAAAGAGAACCAGCUCUUAAAUUUAUUGUGAAGAAGAAUCCUCAUCAUUCCCAGUGGGGAGAUAUGAAACUCUACUUAAAACUGCAGAUUGUGAAGAGGUCUCUUGAAGUGUGGGGCAGUGAGGAAGCACUAGAAGAAGCAAAGGAAGUGAGACAAGAAAACCGAGAAAAAAUGAAACAGAAGAAGUUUGAUAAAAAAGUAAAAGAGGUUGGUGGAUGCUCCUUCCUCCUGACUAGGCCACAGAGGGCUCUCAGUGGAGCAGACGCUAGCGAUAGAAGCGAGGCGCUGACUGUGCAGUUUGCUCAGACGGCUCAGAGCAGAGAGGAAUAGGACCAAUUCUUAAAGGUUUUUUAGUCGGAAAGGAAUUGGGACCUGACUCCUCUUGGUCUUCUGAUUUUGAUCCACAAACAACCUGACAAAAGUUUACUUCUUUAUGGGAAGAAUUGCGACGAGCGGUAAGAAGCAGUGUGUGGAAAAGAGGAACAACUGCUCAUCAACACGAGUAUGGACCAGAAGAAAACUUAGACGAUGACAUGUACCGCAAGACGUGUACUGUGUGCGGCCAUGAGCUGACAUAUGAAAAAAUGUGAUGUUUAGUUCAGUCAGUUUUGAAACAGAUUUUUAUAUUAAAAGAAAUUUAGGUUGAUCCUGUUCAAAGUCUACUACAAAGUAAGUAAGCUUCAAUAGCAACUGUGGAUAUGGCUCAACAGCAAGUUUCAGUUACAGUCCAGCAGGCCUGGUAAGGCAGAGUGUCAUGUCUCUGGGAGCUGAAAGGAAGGCAGAUUCAAAAGCAGCAGAGCCACAAAUUAAGGAGUAAGAAACCAAAAUAAAUUCUAGAGUGGGGUCAGAGGAAGAGCUUUCAAUAAACGUCAGAGCUGACUGAACUGGACUCAGCCAAAAAAACAAACAGGGAUGGCAUUACAUUACUGUAUGAGAGUCUGAAUAAAGAUUUUUAGGGUCUUUGAUCACAAAACCAGAAGGCAGUGGGAAGCUUCUGCUGGAAAGUGUCCCGACACUUAGUGAACCAUAGGAAUUUGAUGUUUUCUGUACCGAGGGGCCUUCUACAUUAAUGACUGGACAAUUCUCCCCACAUGCUGAAUGAAAAUGGAAAACCACAUUUUUCACAAAUUAGUAUCAGCUGAUCAAAGGUUUUGAGUUUAUCCUACUUCUAAGUGUCUUACAGGUAUUCUCAUUUAAUCCUGGAAGGAAGAAAACUUGCUUCAUGUUCAAUAGGGAGGGAAGUGACACCUUAAACUGUACCCUGUCCUAGGUACAGGGAUUAAGUUUAGUUUGUCAGAUUUUCUCUGACUCUUCUCAAAAAGAUUAGCAACCACCUGAUUCUGAUUACUGGACUUUCAGCAUCAUUUUAAUAAAAGGUCAGGUUAGAAUAAACUGGGUACUUUCAACUUGUAGUUUGACAUAAAUUCUUUCUUACCACAAACAGAAUACAAAGCAUAUGCCUUUUCCCUCUUCUUUCCAAACCAGACUAUACCCUUGAAGAAAGGCCAAAAUCAGACCAAGUCAAACCAAGUAAUUAGGCAUUUGAGACUAUUAACUGUUUUAUGUAUAUAAAUGCCCAACCCAGAAAUUUUCACUGUAUUCAAGUAUUGAUUUUUUAAAUAUAUGCUAUGCUAGAAAUUAUACCUGAGUAAAAACCGAUUCUCAAUGGGCUGCCAGUUUCUAGCCUUCUGAUAACAAAAUAUGGAGUUCCAUAUCUCUCACUGUGCACUAAAGUAAAAUUGAAAUGCAUCAAAGAUCUAAAUCUUAAAACAGAAACAUUUAAUCUGCUGGAAAAACAAUACAUAAAACUUUUAAAGACAUAGGUGUAGACAAAGACUUCAUGAAUAAAAACCCCAAUUAUACAGGAAAUACUACAAAAAAGCAACCACUGGGAUCUCAUCAUAUUAAGCUUUUGCAUAGCAAAAGAAGCCACCAACAGAGUGAAAAGACAACCCCACAGAGUGGGGGAAAAACUUUUACCAGCUGUUCCUCAAAGGACUGAUACCUGAAAUAUAUAAAAAUUCAAAAAAAUCACACCCAAAUUUAAAGACCCAAUCCAAAAAUAAGCAUCUGAAAUAGACACUUCUUAGAUGAGGUACAAAAGGCAAAUACAUGAGAAAAUGUUCAACAUCAGUGGUCAUCUGAAAAAUGUUUUAAUUGGUAUUCCAUCUUGCUCCAGAAGUGGCCAUCAUCAAGAAAUCAACCAGUAACAAAUGCUGGCAAGACUGUGGGAAAAAAGAAACCCUUCUCCACUGUUGAGAGGAAUGAAAACUGGUAAAAACAGUGUGGAAAUCAGGAUGGAGAGUCCUCAAAAAACUUAAAACUAGAGGUUCCAAUUGACCCAGUCUUUUCCCUUCUUGAUAUCGAUCCAGAAAGAGUUAAAGGCGUUACACUACAGUGAUACGCGCACACUGAUGUUUAUAGAAGCACAAUCUGUAACAGCUAAGUCCUGGAAACAGCCCAGAUGACCAUCAACAAACAAAUAAAGAAAAUGGGGUAAAUGAGAUUUUUUUAAGUAAAUGGAGACACCCCAAGACCACACUUCUAUGUGAAAUAAAUUAGACACACGUUUAAAUAUUGCAUUCUCUUGUGUGAGAAGCCAAAUGGGUAAACAAGGACCAAAAUGAGUAAAUAUUGGGAAGUAAGAAGAAAAUGUUCAAAAGAGAAGGGGAACAGAGGAAAGGGGGGAAGAGAAAGGAAGGGGAGAUGAGAAAGCAAUAUAAUAAAAAAAAUGGAAACAAAGCUUUUAUAAAGGGAGGAUUGAAGGAGCAGAGUGGAGGAAAAACAAAAACAUCAAGAUAUAUUAUGUACAGGUACAAAUUCCUUAUGAAUGUAAUGUAUAUCAAGUGUACCAAUAAAAUAAAUUUUUUUUGGUAGCAGGAA